CCCAGCGCAGUGUGUAGACGCUCAGUAAAUGUUUACUGAAUGACUAGCAGGGAGGGAAGGUCAGCGCCGGAGGAACUGUUUUAAGAAGAUUCCAGGGGACUGAAGUAGUGCAACAGGAGAGGAUCACCUGACCCCUGAAAAGCCUGAGGAUAAAUACGAGGGAAAAGUGUGGCGAGCCGAGGGGGGAAAAACACUACAUCUGUAAACAGUGUCCAUAUUGGAAAAAUGGAGAGUCCAGCCUUGGUAGAGGUAAGAGCUCUCUGGUGGUUUGGCUGAUUUGCUUUUCUGAUCUUCAUCUUGAACCCCAAUGUCUAUCUCUGGGGAUUUAUUACUCAUGUUACACCCGGGAGACACAGUGCCUAUUGGG
rnacentral:lncRNA from 1 species